rnacentral:rRNA from 1 species
AGACUUUGAUCCUGGCUCAGAUUGAACGCUGGCGGCAGGCCUAACACAUGCAAGUCGAGCGGAUGAGUGGAGCUUGCCCCAUGAUUCAGCGGCGGACGGGUGAGUAAUGCCUAGGAAUCUGCCUGGUAGUGGGGGACAACGUUUCGAAAGGAACGCUAAUACCGCAUACGUCCUACGGGAGAAAGCAGGGGACCUUCGGGCCUUGCGCUAUCAGAUGAGCCUAGGUCGGAUUAGCUAGUAGGUGAGGUAAAGGCUCACCUAGGCGACGAUCCGUAACUGGUCUGAGAGGAUGAUCAGUCACACUGGAACUGAGACACGGUCCAGACUCCUACGGGAGGCAGCAGUGGGGAAUAUUGGACAAUGGGCGAAAGCCUGAUCCAGCCAUGCCGCGUGUGUGAAGAAGGUCUUCGGAUUGUAAAGCACUUUAAGUUGGGAGGAAGGGCAGUAAGUUAAUACCUUGCUGUUUUGACGUUACCAACAGAAUAAGCACCGGCUAACUUCGUGCCAGCAGCCGCGGUAAUACGAAGGGUGCAAGCGUUAAUCGGAAUUACUGGGCGUAAAGCGCGCGUAGGUGGUUCAGCAAGUUGGAGGUGAAAUCCCCGGGCUCAACCUGGGAACUGCCUCCAAAACUACUGAGCUAGAGUACGGUAGAGGGUAGUGGAAUUUCCUGUGUAGCGGUGAAAUGCGUAGAUAUAGGAAGGAACACCAGUGGCGAAGGCGACUACCUGGACUGAUACUGACACUGAGGUGCGAAAGCGUGGGGAGCAAACAGGAAAAGAUACCCUGGUAGUCCACGCCGUAAACGAUGUCG